AGGGAAUAUUGGUUAAUGGGCGAAAGCCUGACCCAGCAACGCCGCGUGCGCGAUGAAGGCCUUCGGGUUGUAAAGCGCUUUUAAGUGGGAUGAGGAAGGACAGUACCACUAGAAUAAGUCUCGGCUAACUACGUGCCAGCAGCCGCGGUAACACGUAGGAGACGAGCGUUAUCCGGAUUUACUGGGUGUAAAGCGCGUGCAGGUGGUAUGGAAAGUUGGAUGUGAAAGCUCCCGGCUUAACUGGGAGAGGUCGUUCAAAACUACCAAACUAGAGUACAGCAGAGGGGAGUGGAAUUCCGAGUGUAGCGGUAAAAUGCAUAGAUAUUCGGAAGAACACCAGUGGCGAAGGCGGCUCCCUGGGCUGAAACUGACGCUCAGACGCGAAAGCUAGGGUAGCGAACG
rnacentral:rRNA from 1 species